rnacentral:rRNA from 1 species
AACGAACGCUGGCGGCAGGCCUAACACAUGCAAGUCGAGCGCCCUUUCGGGGGAGCGGCGGACGGGUGAGUAACGCGUGGGAAUAUGCCCUUCUCUACGGAAUAGCCUCGGGAAACUGAGAGUAAUACCGUAUACGCCCUGUGGGGGAAAGAUUUAUCGGGGAAGGAUUAGCCCGCGUUGGAUUAGGUAGUUGGUGGGGUAAUGGCCUACCAAGCCGACGAUCCAUAGCUGGUUUGAGAGGAUGAUCAGCCACACUGGGACUGAGACACGGCCCAGACUCCUACGGGAGGCAGCAGUGGGGAAUCUUAGACAAGGGGGGCAACCCUGAUCUAGCCAUGCCGCGUGAGUGAUGAAGGCCUUAGUGUUGUAAAGCUCUUUCAGCUGGGAAGAUAAUGACGGUACCAGCAGAAGAAGCCCCGGCUAACUCCGUG